GGUCUCGUGGCCCAAUGGCAAGGCGUCUGACUACGACGGUCUGAGUUUACUCAGUCCAUUCCUGCAAUCAGGAGAUUCUGGGUUCGAUCCCCAGCGAGAUCA
rnacentral:tRNA from 1 species